rnacentral:rRNA from 1 species
UACGUAGGCGGAUCAGAAAGUAUAGGGUGAAAUCCCGAGGCUCAACCUCGGAACUGCCUUGUAAACUCCUGGUCUUGAGUUCGAGAGAGGUGAGUGGAAUUCCAAGUGUAGAGGUGAAAUUCGUAGAUAUUUGGAGGAACACCAGUGGCGAAGGCGGCUCACUGGCUCGAUACUGACGCUGAGGUACGAAAGUGUGGGGAGCAAACAGGAUUAGAUACCCUGGUAGUCC